rnacentral:rRNA from 1 species
CCUACGGGGGGCAGCAGUAGGGAAUCUUCCACAAUGGACGAAAGUCUGAUGGAGCAACGCCGCGUGAGUGAUGACGGGUUUCUGCUCGUAAAGCUCCGUUGGUAGUGAAGUAAGAUAGAGGUAGUAACUUGCCUUGCUUUGACGGUAUUUAUUUGGAAAGUCAAGGUUAACUCCGUGCCAGCAGCCGCGGUAAUACGUAGGUGGCAAGCGUUGUCCGGAUUUAUUGGGUGUAAAGGGAGCGCAGGCGGUUCAAUAAGUCUGAUGGGAAAGUCUGCGGCUCAACCGGAGAAUUGCAUCAGAUACUGUUGAACUUGAGUGCAGCAGAGGUAGGUGGAACUCGAGGUGUAGCGGUGGAAUGCGUAGAUAUAACGAAGAACACCAAUGGCGAAGGCAGCUCUCUGGUCUGCAACUGACGCUGAGGCUCGAAAGCAUGGGUAGCGAACAGGAUUAGAUACCCUUGUAGUC